rnacentral:rRNA from 1 species
CGCGCCUAACACAUGCAAGUCGAACGAGCGAGAGGAGGUUUACUUUCUCAAGCGAGUGGCGAACGGGUGAGUAACGCGUGAGGAACCUGCCUCAAAGAGGGGGACAACAGUUGGAAACGACUGCUAAUACCGCAUAAGCCCACGACCCGGCAUCGGGUAGAGGGAAAAGGAGCAAUCCGCUUUGAGAUGGCCUCGCGUCCGAUUAGCUAGUUGGUGAGGUAAUGGCCCACCAAGGCGACGAUCGGUAGCCGGACUGAGAGGUUGAACGGCCACAUUGGGACUGAGACACGGCCCAGACUCCUACGGGAGGCAGCAGUGGGGAAUAUUGCACAAUGGGGGAAACCCUGAUGCAGCGACGCCGCGUGGAGGAAGAAGGUCUUCGGAUUGUAAACUCCUGUUGUUGAGGAAGAUAAUGACGGUACUCAACAAGGAAGUGACGGCUAACUACGUGCCAGCAGCCGCGGUAAAACGUAGGUCACAAGCGUUGUCCGGAAUUACUGGGUGUAAAGGGAGCGCAGGCGGGAAGACAAGUUGGAAGUGAAAUCCAUGGGCUCAACCCAUGAACUGCUUUCAAAACUGUUUUUCUUGAGUAGUGCAGAGGUAGGCGGAAUUCCCGGUGUAGCGGUGGAAUGCGUAGAUAUCGGGAGGAACACCAGUGGCGAAGGCGGCCUACUGGGCACCAACUGACGCUGAGGCUCGAAAGUGUGGGUAGCAAACAGGAUUAGAUACCCUGGUAGUCCACACUGUAAACGAUGAUUACUAGGUGUUGGAGGAUUGACCCCUUCAGUGCCGCAGUUAACACAAUAAAUAAUCCACCUGGGGAGUACGACCGCAAGGU